GUGCCAGGGCCGGCGCUGCAUGGCGCUGCUCAGCCUGCCUUGCAGAGGGAGCUCGAGUCCCGCUCUGCGCCUCGCAGCGCCUCUCCCUCCGCAGCGCACACGGCGGCAGCGCAGCGAGGUGGCGGCAGGAAGGGGCUGCGGGCCGGGCCGGGCCAACAGAACCGCCGCAACGCUCCGCUCCGGCUCCGAAACCCCACGAGGAGCUGGAGGAGGGAGAAAAGAGAGAGCCCCGAGGAGAUGAUGUUAAAGCCACACAAAUGAGGUUAUUCCUAUGAGUUCCAGGAGCAGAGUCAUUUUGUCCUGACGUGCAGCACCCUGCCUGCCCUGACAGAAGGCUGCUUCCCUGCUCCAGUCUCUGCAGCCAAGGUACAGCUUAUCCUGGAAGAUGGUAUUCUGCUGCAGGGAUGGGGCCAGGCUUUGGCAGAGCAAGAACACCCACAUAAGCUGCUGGAGCACUGAGCUGUUCUUAUUUCCAGAGAAACAGUCAAAACCCAACACGACAUGGCCCUGAGCAGCCUGCUCAAGCUAACACCAUAUUGAGCAGGGGGGAAUGGAAGGCUGUGUUCACUGUGUUCAGAGGUCCCUUCCCAGCUCAACUCCAUAAUUCCUUGAUCCGCUGUGGCUCAGUAUCACUGUGAUGAGACAUACACAGUCCUACUGCUCUCACUUCCAGCCAUUGCCUCCUUCCUCUGGGGCAGGUCAGGACUUCCCUGUGCUGAGUAUGUGACCCUGCUCUGCCCAUUGCAGCAUGGCACCUUCUUAUGCUCUGCAGCAUCUUGAUAACUCAGAGAGCUCAGGGGAAGCAAGAACUCCUUUCACUGCUACGAGAGAUGCCUGUCUCACUGUUGGUAAAAGCAGAAGGUUGAUCCUCAGCUGAGAAACAUCCAACUUGGUCAAUCCAGCUCCCUGCCCCUCGGCACCCACGCAACACCAACGCUCUUUUAAAGUCCUGCGGACUUCCAGGUGUGGCAAAAGGGGCAGCAGUUCCUUCCCAGCUCAGGCGACUUCUGGAAAGAAACAGCAUCGCUUCCAAAGUGUUGGUCCUUCCAGGACAGGGCACGUGUCCCCAAGCAACUGGAAGGCAAGAGGCGGAGGAAUCCAGUGCGUCUCCCUGCCGCUCCGAUCCCAGCAGCUGUAGCACGAAGGUGCACCCUUGGACAGAUCCCAUCCCUAAGAGCCCACAGAGCUCCCAGUCCAGGAGAUGAAGCAAGUGGGCCAGGCUUGGGGAUGAUGUUGUGACACCCCAACCAGCUAUGCACUUCUGCAUGCACCUACAUGGCGACCCUGAGAGCUUCCCAACACCCCCACGUACACACAGGGCUGCACACUCCAUGCUGAGAUCUCUGCCCAGCAGCCCUGCACACAGAUCUGCACACAGCAGCCAUCCCCAGCAGAGCUGGUGACACGGGACGCAGGACACGUGUGUGCACAGCAUUGCCGUGGGGCUACAAACAACCAAGACACAUAGACUCCAAGAAGUGACGUGGCUGACAGGCUCUAAGACAGAGACAUUUGUGAGCAAAGCAGCAGGAGUGGGGCUGAGGGAUGAGGACAGCUCACAUGUCCCAACCUGUGCAGCAGCUGCCGCGAUCUGGAGGCCUAGAAACCCACUCAGAUGGUUCUCUCAGUGCCAUCUAGCAAAUAAUAAAUAACACCCGUGCUUAGG